UCCAACACGGAUUUGAACCAGGAACCUCCUCGCUGUGAGGCAACAGCGCUUACCACUGCACCACCAUACAGCCUCCAUUAAAUAGAGGUAGAACUCGUAGAUCCGGACAGGACAGCGCAGAGGGUUGGGGGCACUUUCAAGCAUCAACAGGUCUCCCUCUUCCUCCCCUUUCCUUUUUCUCAAUCGCUCUAAAUGAAGCAAGAGAACCAAAACAACAGCCAGCAUGAUGAUACGCUGGUCAUCUGCCACUACACCACAUAACAAGAAGAGGAAGUAUAAAGUUGUUUUUUUCUGCUGCCAGUGAGCGUGGCAAUAUGACAAUAUGAAACCAAAAUAAUGUUGUUGUUUUUUUACAUUGAGGACAAAAAAGGAACGACAAAGACCUCAGUGUGAUGUUUGAAGUGCUGGAACAUGAAAGUGAGAGUCAGCAUUAUAAAGGAAACACUGACUCCGCUUCUAAAGACAAACCUGUUGACUUCUUUCAAAGACGACUGGUGUUCUGUCCUGUUUUCUUAUUUUGACAUUCUGUGAUGUUUUUGUUACUUCUCUUCAAACUGCAAACAUUGUUACAGUCUUGUAACAAAGAAAAGCAAAAUAUGUCAUGGUAAUAAAAAGUCAUCAUUUUGUUUACAGAUCUGUUUGAAGAUCAGGGAUAGCAUAAAGCAUUUAUUUCUCAAA